CCUACGGGCGGCAGCAGUGGGGAAUAUUGCGCAAUGGGCGAAAGCCUGACGCAGCGACGCCGCGUGCGGGAUGAAGGUCUUCGGAUCGUAAACCUCUGUCAGCAGGGAAGAACGGUUACUGUGCUAAACAGCAGUGAAUUGACGGUACCUGCAAAGGAAGCACCGGCUAACUCCGUGCCAGCAGCCGCGGUAAUACGGAGGGUGCGAGCGUUAAUCGGAAUUACUGGGCGUAAAGCGCUCGUAGGCGGUUUGUCAAGUCAAGGGUGAAAUCCCCGGGCUCAACGUGGGAACUGCCUUUGAAACUGGCAAACUAGAGUGUGUGAGAGGUAAGUGGAAUUCAAGGUGUAGGGGUGAAAUGCGUAGAUAUCUGGAAGAACAUCAGUGGCGAAGGCGACUAACUGGCACAUAACUGACGCUGAGGAGCGAAAGCGUGGGUAGCAAACAGGAUUAGAUACCCUAGUAGUC
rnacentral:rRNA from 1 species